GACGAACGCUGGCGGCGUGCUUAACACAUGCAAGUCGAACGAGAGGACAAGAGAAGCUUGCUUCUUUUGGAAUCGAGUGGCAAACGGGUGAGUAACACGUAAACAACCUGCCUUCAGGAUGGGGACAACAGACGGAAACGACUGCUAAUACCGAAUACGCUUGGAAGACCGCAUGAUUUUCCAAGGAAAGGGUGGCCUCUACCUGUAAGCUAUCGCCUGAAGAGGGGUUUGCGUCUGAUUAGGCAGUUGGUGAGGUAACGGCCACCAAACCUACGAUCAGUAGCCGGUCUGAGAGGAUGAACGGCCACACUGGAACUGAGACACGGUCCAGACUCCUACGGGAGCAGCAGUGGGGAAUCUUCGCAAUGGGCGAAAGCCUGACGGAGCAAACGCCGCGUGAGUGAUGACGGCCUCGGUGU
rnacentral:rRNA from 1 species